rnacentral:misc_RNA from 1 species
GAUGAAGAACGUAGCGAAAUGCGAUACGUAAUGUGAAUUGCAGAAUUCAGCGAAUCAUCGAGUCUUUGAACGCACAUUGCGCCCCCUGGUAUUCCGGGGGGCAUGCCUGUCCGAGCGUCAUUGCUGCCCUCAAGCACGGCUUGUGUGUUGGGCCUCCGUCCUCCUCCCGGGGGACGGGCCCGAAAGGCAGCGGCGGCACCGCGUCCGGUCCUCGAGCGUAUGGGGCUUCGUCACCCGCUCUUGUAGGCCCGGUCGGCGCUUGCCGACACAUCAAUCUUUUUUCCAGGUUGACCUCGGAUCAGGUAGGGAUACCCGCUGAACUUAAGCAUAUCAAUAAGCGGAGGA